GGCUUAACACAUGCAAGUCGUGCGAGAAAGUACCUUCGGGUGCGAGUAGAGCGGCGGACGGGUGAGUAACGCGUAGGAAUCUACCUAGUAGAAGGGGAUAGCCCGGGGAAACUCGGAUUAAUACCGUAUACCUCCUUAGGGAGAAAGAGGGCUUAGCUUUGAUGCUCUCGCUAUUAGAUGAGCCUGCGUAAGAUUAGCUUGUUGGUGAGGUAAUGGCUCACCAAGGCGACGAUCUUUAGCUGGUCUGAGAGGACGAUCAGCCACAUUGGGACUGAGACACGGCCCAGACUCCUACGGGAGGCAGCAGUGGGGAAUAUUGGACAAUGGGCGCAAGCCUGAUCCAGCCAUACCGCGUGUGUGAAGAAGGCUUUCGGGUUGUAAAGCACUUUAAGUAAGGAGGAAAAGAUUGUAGUUAAUACCUGCAAUCCGUGACGUUACUUACAGAAUAAGGACCGGCUAAUUCCGUGCC
rnacentral:rRNA from 1 species